rnacentral:lncRNA from 1 species
CAAACUAAUGUGUAUUAUGCACUAAAUGACAGCUUUAAAAUAGGCAAAGAAAGAGAGGUUACAAUCAGUUUCAAAGUUAAACAUAAUAACUCCCCUAAAAUGGAGGUAACUUGCAAAACUACAUACCUUACCACUAACACAAUACAUUAACUGCAAAAAUAUCUAACAUCUCCAACAAGACAUCCACUAUAGAACCUCCAACAACUUUUCAACCUCGCUUCCUGCCACCACCAGAAUUGCCAACCUGAUGCUUGUGUCUGUCUGUCUGUCAUAUUCACAUAAUUUCCAAGGCCUAAAGAGGCAUCCUCAUCAGCGUAUGUCAAUGGCACUGCAAAGCCAAUGUGAAUGCCACUCAGGACUCAAAUUCUCAACGCAGAGCACAACAUAGCAUAACACAUCAUAGCAAUCAAGAAACUGAACAAAUGGAAAAUUCAAAACCCUAAUGAAAUGAAAAAUCCUAAAACACAAAAAAAAGUUCCUAAAUCCCAAAAGAUUCAGGAGUGCACAAAAAUUCAAAAACCCCAAUGGCAGGAAUAAGCAUGAAAUUGUGAAGAAAAAAGAACAAUUUGAUAAGACCAGCAAUGCAAAAUAUAUUGUACAUAUUAAAAAAGGAUUUUUACAUUGGAUUAGCAUACAAUUUUGAGAAAGGGAAAGAAACAAAAACAUCGUAGCUAGUCGCAGAAUGAGAAUUGUGUUGUAAUCUUCGGAAUAUGGUGCAAUUUGAAUGUGAAAAAAAAACGAGUGUAAUUUGAAAGUGUAAAUAUCUAAACUUGAAACCUUAUGCAAAGGAAGCAAAAUUUGCUGGUAGCUUAGUACUAGUAGUAGUAGUGAUUGUGUGCUUUCCUUGACAGCAAUUGGUUAUUUUUUU